ensembl:lncRNA
GUUGAGAGGAGGUGGUGGUGGUUGUGAGGAGGAGGUGGUGGUUGAGAGGAGGAGGUGGUGGUUGAGAGGAGGAGGAAGUGGUGGUGGUUGAGAGGAGGAGGUGGUGGUUGAGAGAAGGAGGUGGUGGUGGUUGAGAGAAGGAGGUGGUGGUGGUUGAGAGGAGGAGGUGGUGGUGGGUGAGAGGAGGAGGAGGUGGUGGUGGUGGUUGAGAGAAGGUGGUGGUGGUUGUGAGGAGGAGGUGGUGGUGGUUGAGAGGAGGAGGUUGUGGUGGUGGUUGAGAGAAGGUGGUGGUGGUUGAGAGGAGGAGGUGGUGGUGGUGGUGGUGGUUGAGAGGAGGAGGAGGUGGUGGUGGUGGUUGAGAGAAGGUGGUGGUGGUUGUGAGGAGGAGGUGGUUGAGAGGAGGUGGUGGUGGU